UACCCAUUUUUCGGCGACUGUUGUCUGUGUUUGCUGGGAUUUCGCUGCGAUUUGUUUUAUUUUUAUUUAUUUUUGAAGAGUCCAGUCGGGCCUUUUGUCAGACGAUUCCCUCUCCCUACCACUCCCUAUAUCGCCCGCCUGUCUCCCUCUAACCCUUCCUGUUGUUCUGCUUUGCUGGCCAGCUUAAUUAUUUAACUUGAUUCGAGUUUUUUAUGUAUGCAAUUCUCUGGCUGUCUGCGCCUUUUUUCCCUACUCGUUUUUGUUUUUUUUUUUUUGCACUUUUGAUUUUCUUGUUCAUUCUGCAUUUUUCACUUUUGUGGUGCAUUUAAAUUGAGUUUGAGCUUCACUUAUUUCAUGUAAUUAAGACGUUUCCGGUUCAUGACCUAAAUGUGCAAUUUAGGGCAACUGCAGGGGCUGUUCAAGGGCUGGUGGUGAUAUUUGCAUAAACAUUGGAGUUGGCUAGUCACUGUGUCUGGAUAUGACUCAAAAGGAAUGGCGAUAUUUUCAAAAUCUUGUGAAAUAUAUUCUGAAAAAUCAUUAAAAACGAAAACAACACGAAAAAUCUCCCAUAAUAUGUACAAGUUUUCUAUAUUCCAUUUCUUAUAAAAAGACUUUACGCAAUGAUCACAGUAACUAUCUCGUUUUCUUUCUAACAAACUGAUUCACGUUUAAAUUACUUUUUAGAUCAUCUUUAGCAAAGAAAAACCUUCAAUUUUGUGCCACCUUGAAAAACAGCUUGUAUUUACGUCUGAUAAUUUUCGUGCCCAUAGUGCUUCCCGUCAAGCCGUCAUCUAAGCCAAAGGUGAUUCAGUUCGGUGCCAGCUAUAAGAAAUUCAAAGCUUUCCCCCAACUGACUCAGACUUUGAAGACAUCAUGACAAAAGCUGGACGUGACAAUGUGGGAAUCUAGACUCAGAACUUGACCAUCGGAAGAAGCUUACUAAGCCGAUCUCAAAGAUUGAUUGCAUUCUAGUUAACUAUGUCUAUUACCUCAAAGCAGUUGUUUUUAAAUUUUAAGCCAUGUGUUUGUCAUGUAAGGGAAUACCAGCUUCUAGCUGGGCCAAGUUCUACUCUAUAUGGUGCACACUAAUUGGUACAUUAGGGCUUGGCUACGCCAUGUUUUUGAUAAUUGAUAUAAACAAGUAUGUGCUGGUUUUAAUGAACUUAGCCAGGCCUUUAGAAACUUCCUCAUAUGCAGUAAAUCAUGAGAGUUUGGUAUUGCUCGCAUGGGUUGAUGCUUCUUUUACAAUGCUCUUUUCCAUUAUGUAUAUUUUGGCUGGAAUUUGUAUGCUGCUGGGAAUGAGAAUAAGAUCAAAGAAAGUUUUCGUAGCUGGAAAAGUUCUAAGCUACUUUUUUGCAAUUUAUACUUGGAUAUUUCUGGUAGCUACAGUUGUACAUUUCAUCUGCGCAGUAAAAUUAUGCAAAUAUGUGGAGGAAUCAUGGCCCAAAAAUAGCUGAAUACUGAGUAUUCUUAUCCUAAAUUUAUUGAUCUUUUGUAACAUUUGGAUACUAAUGGCUGAUCUGAGCAAGCAAAGUUAUAAACAUAAAUAAUUUAUUAUUUUA